rnacentral:rRNA from 1 species
CCUACGGGAGGCAGCAGUGAGGAAUAUUGGACAAUGGGCGCAAGCCUGAUCCAGCCAUGCCGCGUGCAGGAAGAAGCAUCUAUGGUGUGUAAACUGCUUUUGUACAGGAAGAAACACUCCCUCGUGAGGGAGCUUGACGGUACUGUAAGAAUAAGGACCGGCUAACUCCGUGCCAGCAGCCGCGGUAAUACGGAGGGUCCGAGCGUUAUCCGGAAUCAUUGGGUUUAAAGGGUCCGUAGGCGGUUUAAUAAGUCAGUGGUGAAAUCUGGUCGCUCAACGAUCCAACGGCCAUUGAUACUGUUAGACUUGAAUUAUAAGGAAGUAACUAGAAUAUGUAGUGUAGCGGUGAAAUGCUUAGAUAUUACAUGGAAUACCAAUUGCGAAGGCAGGUUACUACUUAUGGAUUGACGCUGAUGGACGAAAGCGUGGGGAGCGAACAGGAUUAGAUACCCUGGUAGUCCACGCCGUAAACGAUGAUACUAGCUGUCGUAGCACUAGAGUGUGUAGACGAAGUAG